GCUGCCUUGGCGCAAUGGUAGCGCGUCUGCCUCCUACUGGUGGGACUCGAACCCCCAGGUUAGUAAGCAGAAGGUUGCGGGUUCGAGUCCCGUUGGUAGUA